UACGGAGGGGGCUAGCGUUGUUCGGAAUUACUGGGCGUAAAGGGCGCGUAGGCGGCCUGCUAAGUCGAACGUGAAAUCCCCGGGCUCAACCCGGGAACUGCGUCCGAUACUGGUUGGCUUGAAUCCGGGAGAGGGAUGCGGAAUUCCAGGUGUAGCGGUGAAAUGCGUAGAUAUCUGGAGGAACACCGGUGGCGAAGGCGGCAUCCUGGACCGGCAUUGACGCUGAGGCGCGAAAGCCAGGGGAGCAAACGGG
rnacentral:rRNA from 1 species